rnacentral:SRP_RNA from 1 species
UUGCCAUCGCGAUGCUAGCUGAGCGAACCAGGUCAGGUCCGAGAGGAAGCAGCCUUAAGUUACGGUUACAUGUGCGGUGGUUUUUA